rnacentral:ncRNA from 1 species
UCUCAAAAAGGGCAAACUCACUGAAAAGUGAAGACGCAAAGCUAUAGGGGCUUCUGUCCUAGGGACCAGCCAGCCAGCUACCAUC